rnacentral:rRNA from 1 species
ACGCGUGGAACCUUACCAGGUCUUGACAUCCUCUGACACUCCUAGAGAUAGGACGUUCCCCUUCGGGGGACAGAGUGACAGGUGGUGCAUGGUUGUCGUCAGCUCGUGUCGUGAGAUGUUGGGUUAAGUCCCGCAACGAGCGCAACCCUUGAUCUUAGUUGCCAUCAUUUAGUUGGGCACUCUAAGGAGACUGCCGGUGACAAACCGGAGGAAGGUGGGGAUGACGUCAAAUCAUCAUGCCCCUUAUGACCUGGGCUACACACGUGCUACAAUGGAUGGUACAAAGGGCUGCAAGACUGCGAAGUCAAGCCAAUCCCAUAAAACCAUUCUCAGUUCGGAUUGUAGGCUGCAACUCGCCUACAUGAAGCUGGAAUCGCUAGUAAUCGCGGAUCAGCAUGCCGCGGUGAAUACGUUCCCGGGCCUUGCACUCACCGCCCGU